UGGGAUUGGAGGCAUUCAGAGGCAUAGAUGAAGCAGAUUUCUAUAUAUUAAUUUUGCAAAGGAUACAGUGAGGUGAGAUGAAUAUUAGUAUUCUGUUUUUUUUCCCUAGGAAGUCUCAAGAAGUAUUAUGACUGAUCAAGUUUAGUUUGCAUCCAGGCUGAAGUAGCUUUUCUGAUCCUAUAGAUGAGUUUUUUUUUUUUUUUUCCUACCUACAAAGUACUUUUAGGUGUCUACCUACAAGCAAUCAUGGAAAGUAGUUUGAGUCCCUACCACAGUUUUACCCGAUGUUGAGUAAUGAAGAAUCUCAAGACACAUUUCUUAAUGUAUAUAAUCAUGUAUAACUUUAAGUGAAAUUUGAGCUGUAUAUUUCCGGCUCAAGUAAUCAAAUGCUUACAUUGUUUAGAGGCUAAAAAAUUUUGUUCUUAAAAUAUCCCUUAAGAAAUUGAUGUACUUUUUACAGUGUUGUGUUCUGCAGCAAAUGUUGACUAAUGCCAGAUAAACAGAUACAAAAGCAGGGAAGAAUAUUGGGUGAAUGAGGUCUGUAUUUUCAUAAACUUGGGUCUAAUUUUAACACAGGUUAAAAAAUGUUUCAUUUCCCUUAAUAGAUCUUUUCUAAGUAAAUAAUAGUUAGAAUUCCUCAUGCUGCUGUGUCUAUAGCUGUACCGUUGAGCAAACUAGAUGGUGAGGAAAUAAACUGCAUUUGUGAGAGGAGAAAAACAACAGACACAUAAUCACCUAAACUUUGGACAAACCUCUGAAAUGGAAGCCAAUAUAGCAAUGAAAUCACAAUGAAAUUAUAAAUUCAUGGAGGAAAAGCUGGGAGGUUAAUUUUACCCUUUAAAACCUCAAUGAAGCACAAAAUUCAGGGGGAAAACUAAUAAUUAUGACAAAGAAUUGUAAGAUUUGGAACAUCAACUCAGCAAAUGAAGACAUUACCACAUGGCGGACAUUAGCCAAUAAAAGGCAUCCAAUCACUCUAAAAUGAGCUCAUAACGCAAAAUGUGAGCACUGUGGGUUUCCAGAGGCAUGGUGCAUUUAGAAAAAAAUUCAUUUAUUACUUUCCAUGACUGAGCUCAUUCAAUUUACAUUUACUGAGCAUAGACAAUGGCCUUGCACUUUGUAUGAUGUGCUUAGGAGGGCUAAAAAAAUAUAUUGGGUACAGAUCCUGACCUUAAGCAGAUUACAGUUUAGUUGGAAUGUCUGACUGGAGGGAAAAGAGAGGAACAUAAACCCAUAAGAUAAGGAGAAAUGACAAAGAUAAAAUAAACCAAUAUGAGGAGGCAGGAAAAAGGAGUGUGAGGGGUCAGGGAGAGGGUAGAGUUUAGGGUGAUCUUCAAGGAGGAGAGGCAAUUGAGCUGAACCUUAUAGCAUGUUUGAUAUUUGAUUUUUAUUUCAAAAUUUCUCAAAGCACACACUAUCUUCUCUGAGCUGAAAAUGCCAUGGCAUAUAUGUUUUCAAAUGGGAUUUGCUAUCAAACCAACACACUUUAACACAUGAAUCAGAUAAAAAUAAAUGCAGAGAUGUAAAACUCAUUGGAUAUAAACCAGCAUGAGCUAAUUUAUGCCCCAGCAAGAAACUUCCCCUAUAGCGCUGUGAUUUAACAUAACUACGGUUUAUACAAGAUAGAUUAUGUGUAGAAAGGUAAUUUUGUGAAAAGUGUGGAGAGUGGCUUGAAGGCAGGGAGAAGCUUUAUAGGAUUCCUGGAAGAAGUUGGGCAGGUUAAUAGUGAGGGUUUGAAGCAGGUGCUGUAGCAGUGCAGCUAAACAGAUGAGACGGAUUCAAGAGCUCUUCACAAGUAGAUUUAAUUGGACCUACUUGAUGGAGGGACAGAGAGAGAAGGAUGCGUUAAGCAUAAUCAUAUGGAGCUAGUUGGGUGGAUGGUGAUACUAUUAACUAAUAAGAUAGUGUUUACUGGAAGCAGCAGCAGUUUUGGAGUGACAUUAACUGCAGUACUUGCAGGAAAAUUACUUGGAGAUAUCAACUGACAAAUUACAAGAUGCAUGUUUGGAUCAAAGAAAAGAGAUAGGACUAGAAGCACCAUGCUAGACACAGAGGAUGUUAAGAUGAAAAUCAGACCCUUCCCUCGAGGAGUUCAUAGACCAGUCAGGAAGAUAACAAAGCUUAUGAUAAAGGCGGUGGCCGAGUAAUACAUUGCCCCGAAACUGAUAAGCCAGGAGGCUAAAGAAGUAUGGAGGCAGUCCGUCAGGAAUCUUGCAAAGAAGGCAGCUCUCAGUAGACAGUACUGGAGAUUUUUAUGAACCAUUUUUAGUUCUGUGAAUUGAAGAGACCUCGCCCCUUUUCUACCUCUUUCUGCUGACAGCUGCUCCUGAACACCUCCCUCCCAGCCGGGAGGGCAGCCGGAUGGCUGCCUGUGCAGCUAACGCCAGGAUGGCUCCUGAGCGAGCAUCCAGGGUAUCAGUUUCCUCCUGGAGACUCACGUGUCACCUUCACGUCUCGUGUAUCUUCCAUCAUUUACGUGAAUAUAUCAAGGGCUCUGGUAGAGGCACCAGGCUAUGAAAGCGCAGUCUAACCGGUGGCUGGGAACAAAGGCCGCCUUCAGCUACAAAUGAUUCACUAUGGUGUUGAGACUUUUUUCCCUCCACGAUGACUUUGAAUCCUAAAGAUUAAAUGAGUGUGCUUCCAUUCGCAGAAAAUAAAAGUGAAGGGAUAGCCUAGGAAAAGAAUUACUCUAAAAAAAAUACUGAUUUUAAGAACCAAUUUAGAAAAUUACAAAGGUUUCACAAGGAUGUAGGGUGUACUUGUAAUGGCAGGAGGAAGAUUUAUACCCAACUCUUCUCACAGAUGCUACUGUAACUUAUCAUCCUCAGAUUACUUAGUUUCCAUCAGAAGAUAUCACUAUCUGAUCAGUCUCAUCAUUUCAUAUUGGGUGGCAGUAUGGACAAAGUUAGAGUGAAUUAUUUGAAAGGUCAUGUGACUAUAUCUAACAGAUAUUUAAAAAUAUUUUGUGUGGUUCAUUAGCCAGUUUAAUACAGUGGGUUAACAAAGAAGUUCUAUAGUUCAUCUCUGGAAAAUUGAAACAUGGCUCUUACUUUUCAACCAUUAUUAAAUUAAAAAUAUCAAAAUAUUUUUAAGAAGAUGCAUGUUUCCAGCACAUUCUAUGUCCUUGGGAAGCAAAUAAUAAUGAACAGGAUUAGGAAAUAAUUUCAGAGAAGACAAUGGAACCCCACUCCAGUACUCUUGUCUGGAAAAUCCCAUGGAUGGAGGAGCCUGGUGGGCUGCAGUCCAUGGGGUCACUACGAGUCAGACACGACUGAGCGACUUCACUUUCACUUUUCACUUUGAUGCAUUGGAGGAGGAAAUGGCAACCCACUUCAGUGUUCUUGCCUGGAGAAUCCCAGGGACUGGGGAGCCUACGCUGCCGUCUAUGGGGUCACACAGAGUUGGACACGACUGAAGUGACUUAGCAGCAGGAAAUAAUUUAUACUGAAGUAUAUAACCCUGAGAUGGCGGUGGAUCAGCCCCACCUCUUUUGACCUUGGCCCCUUUAGAGGACAGCCUGGUUUCAACCAAAGUAACCUUGAACUUGGGGAGAGGCUGCAGCCCAGAGACACAGAAUAGGUGUCGUUGGUGCUAAUUCACUGUGCUUAUGCACUGGCGAGCUACAGUCCAUGGGGUCACAAAGAGUCAGACAUGACUGAGCAACUAACACUUUCACUUUAUGCACAGUUUAUUAAGGAAACUUUCAGAUUAUGGAAAUAUUUGACAGUUUCUUCUAGAUAUUCUGUGGCUUCCGUGGUGGCUCAGACGGUAAAGCGUCUGCCUGCAAUGCGGGAGACCUGGUUCGAUUCCUGGGUUGGGAAGAUCCCCUGGAGAAGGAAAUGGCAAUCCACUCCAGCACUCUUGCCUGGAAAAUCCCAUGGACGGAGGAGCUUGAUAAGCUACAGUCCAUGGGGUUGCAAAGAGUCGGACACAACUGAGCAACUUCACUUUACUUCACUUCUAGAUAUUACGAUUCUUCUUCAAAUAGGAUUCUUUUUCAUAUAUUUAAUAUGGUAUUUAAAAGUUGUCAGUAGAGAAAACAUGCUAAAGUCUGAAUACAAGAAAAUAGUUCACAGUAAAGAACAAUUAUAUACUGAGUAUAAUUUGAAAAAUAUUUGAAUAUUAAACUUGUCUUCAUUAAUAUCAGUUACAGGUCCCAAGGAAUAUGUCAUGAUCUCUUCAUUAUUCUACUUUAAACUCACAAUAUUAUCUCCAGGGGAAUUUUAAAAACAUUUUAUCAGGAAGCUUGCUUCUAAGUUGUUUGGUCAGGUCUGUCUUUCGUAAAGUUAACAGUUUCUAAAUAUUUCCAGAUUUGGCUGUCUGAUACCAGAACAAUUACAAAAUAUUUUCGGUAAUACUAUGUCAACAAGGUCUUUGGUAUUAUUAAAACAGGCAUCUAUUAACUGCUUUAAAAUGCUGAAGAUACUAAAAAUAGUUCAAAUUAACUCAAUUAAAACUAAGGACCUAUUCAUACAGUACUAUUUUAUACAUAAUAUUUAUUGAAGACUUACUAUGUUCCAAGCACCUUUCUUUCAGGGCCAUUCAUGUAUUAUUUCAUUUAAUCCUCAAAAUAAUCCAGGGUAAAAAUUAUAAUUUUAUGUCCAUUUUAUAGACAAGGAAACUGAGGCAUAGGCAGGGUAUGUAACUUGUUUCAAGGCACGUAGUUGAUAAGUAGAAGAUGUGGUAUAAAAUCCCAGGUAGCUUGAUGCUGUGCUCUUUGCCCUUGUACUUUAUUAUAUUGCCUCAUAUUAGUUAAUGUUCAUUCAAAAACUGUAUUAAGAUAUGAGACUGCAACCAGUGUAAGAUUCCUUGACAGGAAAAGCAAAGAUGUUUCUGUAAAUCAAUGUUCAUAGCAUCAUCCUCUGUCCCCCAUCACUCACCUUGGCGCUUGGUAGCAGAGUGAGGAAUACACCGUGUCUCCAUGAGCAGAGCUUCAUGGCACCCAGUUCGCAUGUGGGAUCGCUAAAUUCCAAGGCACAGAAGUAACAAUUCCAUAGAAAAUAGGCACCUUUAUAAUUUCUUACAUAUUAGUGAAAUUUCUACAUUUUCAAGAGCAGAUGAUACAUUUAAUUAAAAUAUUGACCUUGAUAUCAAGGAUAGUAUUACAUGCUGAAAUUACAUAUUAAAAUAGAUUGUGGGGGGCUUUUUUUGGGAGGGAAUAUUUAUUGCAACUUCACUUUUUGAUUAAAAUAGAAAAGAAAUCCUCCGAAAAUUACUUUGAUAAAACGGACUUCAAGUUAAAAUCCACAUGAAUCAUGUUGGGUUUUUCAGGAAGAAUCUUGUUUUGGCCUAAAUGAUACCCGAGAUCAACUUAGACCUUCCUACAUUUUUAACGUGAUGGAAGUGCAGUGGUCUCUCAGCUGGUGUCAGAGAGGAAGUACUUUCAGGAAGACUUUGUCUACCAGAGUUAGACCCAGGGAGCAUGGUAGCCUGAAGUCUCCUUGUCUCCUCGGUCUGCUCUUGGUUCUUUAUCACCAGAAAGGCUAGAAAGCAGAAAAAGUGAAAGUUUCUUCUGAACAGAUUCUUUUCAUUACAGACUUCAGAAAUGUCGGAAAGCUAGCAUAGGGCAAUUCGUAUCCCGAAUUCUUUUUUGCUGUAAUAACACGCAGCAACUAAAAUCUUAACAUUUUUGUCAGAUGUGAAAAAACAUACAAUCUUAUUGUUUCUCACAUUUGGUGUUUUUCGGGGGUGGAGGAAUCAAUUAUUUUGUCUUUAGAAGCUGUAAAAUAAAAUUCCAAUAAAAUCCAUGUUACACAUCUAUGCAAACCAAUAAAAAGAGAAUAUUUGCAUGUGUCCUAUUAAUCAAAACCAGUUUCCCGCAAUUCUAAAGACAUAUUC
ensembl:lncRNA